rnacentral:rRNA from 1 species
GUGUGAAUUGCAGGACACAUUGAUUCCAUCGACGAUCUGAACGCGAAUUGCGGCCUCGGGUUAAUCCCGGGACCGCGCCCGCCUCAGGGUCG